UACGUAGGGGGCAAGCGUUGUCCGGAUUUAUUGGGCGUAAAGAGCGUGUAGGCGGUUUGGUAGGUCCGCUGUGAAAACUCGAGGCUCAACCUCGAGACGCCGGUGGAAACCAUCAGGCUAGAGUCCGGAAGAGGAGAGUGGAAUUCCUGGUGUAGCGGUGAAAUGCGCAGAUAUCAGGAGGAACACCGAUGGCGAAGGCAGCCCCCUGGGCUGAGAUUGACGCUGAGUGCACGAAAGCGUGGGGAGCAAACAGG
rnacentral:rRNA from 1 species